GGCGCUGGUGGCGGCGGCCGGUAUCGCCACGCUCUGGUACAGCGUGUCGGUAUGGGUGCUGCCGUAGCCAUUCAGCUUGGCCUUGCCGCCGCC
rnacentral:tRNA from 2 species